ACAGGUAUACCCUUUAUCCAGCUCGUCACAGCACAGCUUUCCACGGAUGAAGAUUCUAGCCUCCAGGGCCAUAGAUUGAGCAAUCCCAAGCACAGUGAGUUUUCCUAAUCUCCACUCUUCCAUCGACAACUAUGCUUUCUGCACUUCUUAUGAAGAUCGUAAUAUAUUCAGCACCGCCACUUGUUUUCCUCCACACCAAGCCAUUGUUCCUCAGACCCAUUUCCUCAGUCCCACUCAUUAGCCUUACAAACUCACUUGGGUUGUAUCCACAGACUGAUUUGUCUCCUGCAACUUUAACUAAAUCCACUGCGUCGAAUGGAGAAUCCUAUGUUGUCUCCUACCUCAUAGAUUCAUGUGGGUUGUCACCAGAAAUUGCUAUUUCUGCGUCUGAGAAGAUAAAUUUCAAAACCCCAGAAAGACCAGACUCCGUGCUUAACCUACUAAGUACUCAUGGAUUUACAAAAACCCAGAUUUCCAAGCUUAUGGGGAAACGACCGCAUCUGCUUUUGGCCAAUCCUGAGAAAACCAUUCUGCCCAAACUCAAGUUUUUUCAGGCCUUAGGUGUUUCGAGACGUGACCUUGCAAGAAUUCUUUCUGGAGCCCCAACCAUCUUGGAAAGAAGCUUAGAGAAGCAAAUCAUACCUUCCUACAAUUUCCUAAAGUCUGUGCUUCGGUCAGAUAAGAAGGUGGUGUCUGCCAUGAAGCGCACGGCAUGGGUUUUUUCAGUACAUUAUACGAGAUUUCUUGUUCCAAAUCUCGCUAUUUUGAGGGAAUUUGAUGUGCCCGAAUCAAGUAUUGGGUUGUUAUUGGCUCAUCACCCUGAGGCUUUAAUGCAAAAGCAUGAGCAGUUUAAGAAAAUCGUCAACAUGGUUAAGGAGAUGGGGUUUGAACCUUCUAAAUCGACAUUUGUGCUAGCGGUGCAUGCCAUUUCAGGGAAGGGUAACAACUCAAUUUGGGAUCGAUGCUAUGAAUCAUAUGGGAAGUGGGGUUGGUCAAAGGAUGAGAUUCUCUCGGCAUUCAAGAAGCAACCACAUUGUAUGGUUCUGUCAGAGACAAAGAUUACACGAGUAAUGGACUUCCUUGUGAACACGAUGGGGUGGCGUUCCAAAGACAUUACAAGAUAUCCUGCAAUUAUGCUUUUUAGCUUGGAAAAGAGGAUUGUCCCGAGGUGCUUGGUCUAUCAAGUCUUGUCAUCAAAGGGCUUGCUAACGAAAGAUUUGAGCUUGAGUACGAUAUUGACGCCACGGGAGGAGUGUUUCUUGGAGAGGUUUGUGAUUAGAUAUGAGAAGGAAGUUCCUCAACUAAUGAAAACGUAUCAAGGAAAGGUGGAUAUUCUGGAGUUAUAAAUUGAGCGGCGAUGGGGUAAAAUUUUGGAUCAAUUUUGCUUUUUCUCAACUCAUGGUUGCUAAUUUUCAGUGCUUCAUUGUUAUUCUGAGUUGGAAUGAUGUCUGUUCUAUUGUAGGACUCAUGAUUUUAACUGUUGUGUACUUUGUGCUCCAUGUUUUGGGCUUACUUACCAUUUUCCCCUAGUUCAGGGCUUGUGUUAAUGUUUAAGUUCUGCCUUUUGUUUUUUAUUUGUCUACUUCAAUUGACAUUUCAGUCCUUCUAGAACAAAUUUGUUGAACUCAUUGCUUCAGUUUGGUUAUCUUUAACGGGUUUCAGGUCAAAGAUGAGGUCGACACUUCCAUAGGCAUAGAGUAAGCUAUUGAAGUUUUUCUGAUUUCUAUCGUAUUCACUUUGUACUCCAUGCUUGCUUGUUUUUGCUAUAAUGGCUCCUUAUCCUAGUGGAUAAAUUUUUGUUUUCAUUCAACAAUAAAUUAUUGUGUUGUAGCAUUAUACCCUGAAUUUUUUCCCCUAAAGAUGACUUUUUGAUGUUUGUCUGGUUGUUCUUUGUUUCCUCUUUAUUGGACAUGAGUUACCCUGAUGCUAUUAUGCAAAAACAUUUUCAGUUUAAGGAAAUUGUUAGCGAGGUUAAGGAGAUGGGGUUUGACCCUUUGAAGUCGACCUUUGUUCUGGUGGUGCAUGCCAUUCAGGGAAGAAGGAAUAAACCAUUUUGGGAUCGGUGGUUAUGAAGCAUAUAUGACGUGGGGUUUGUCUAAUGAUGAUUACCUCGGAACUCAAGAAGCAACCACACCGUUUGAUUCUGAGGCACACGAAGAUUAACUGAGAGCAAUGGACUUCUUUGUGAACAAGAUGGGUUGGCACUCCAAAGACACUACAAGCUGCCCGACGGUUCUGCUUUUUAGCUUGAAGAAUAGGUUGCCUUGGGUUCUUAUGGAGGAUGUGGUAGAAAAAAUUUCUCCAGCUGUGACAGUGUUGAGGCAACUUGGGGUGCCUCAGCCCUCUAUCGAAUCGUUACUCGUUACUAUAUCGAUCUCAUUGGAUAAUGGUUGAAAGCAGAGAUAGGUUUGAUCAGUUUCGAAGAGAGGUUGUUUAACCCUUUAAAAAUAUCGUUUAAUGUAGUAAUUCGUGUAAUUUCUUGGACAAGUAAACCAACCUGGGCUCGAAAAGCUGAAGUCUUUAGGAGGUGGGGUUGGUCGGAUGAUGACGUUCGCUCGUUGCUCAGAAGAUACCCCUUAUGUAUGGCUUUGUCUUUGGAAAAGAUCGCGAAUGGGAUGCAUUUUUUUAAGUGAAUGAGAAGGGUUUCCAGCCUUCAUCGAUAGCUGGAAAUCUGAUAGUUCUUACUUAUGGUUUGGACAAGAGGGUCAUUCCCAGAUGCUAUGUCAUCAGAGUUCUGAGGCUGAGAGGAUUGAUAAAGAAGGAUAUAUGCUUGUAGUGGGCUGAACUGCUGAGCUAAGGUCCCAACCAUGUGUCCUUGAGGAGCUUGGCGGGCUAUGGGUCACGGAACGUGAAGUGAUUGAGUUUGGCCGAACGAUUGGUUGUUGCCGGAAGAUAUCCAACCGACUCUUGUGCUUAUGUCUCGGAAGUCUCAAAUCACGUUCAGGAAUAGCCCGGGCUCCAUACCCAAACCGUAUGCUUUGGGUAUAGCCGAUCCGGGUCUGACUUGUCGUACCUGGGUGAUUCACAAAAGGUGGUUCACACACAUGGGUAUAACCAUUUUCCAGCCUAUGUCAUAUGUGAUGUUAGCUGAACUGCUGAAGUACCUCGCAUGCUGAACACGUACAUACUUGGAGGGCAAGUUUUGGAGGUUCUAUAUAAGGGACAAGGAUAAACCCUGAAGAGGUCAGAUCCUGUGGAGGAGCCCCAGCCCAAAUCCAAGCCAGAGUACCACCGGGUACUACAUCGAUAAACCAGCACACCACAAUGCUCAAGUACUUUUCGUAUGUCUGCUGAUAAAUGCUUCCUAGAAAAAUUUAAGACCGAAUAUGAGGAUCGGUUUCCUCAACUGUGGAGCAUUUAUUAAGAGAAACUAGGUUUUUUUAAAACCGGCAUUUAACAUGAGGGCACUGAUAGGUUUAUAAAGCUGUAGAGUAUCUCACAUUAUGAACAUCGCAAUGAUUAGCUGAUAUUGGGUUUCUAGUUGACAAUUGUUGUUUUUCCAGUAUAUUAGAUCUACUCCGGCAUUCUUCAGUGUGGCGGCACAAUUAUUUAAGUCUUAUUAGGGAAAUGGCUGUAAGUUGUUUAUACCUUUUAUGUGGAAGCUCUUCCAGAACCUAUAAAUUGUUGGAGACUGGAGGUGGUCGUUCCUCGCUUGAGCUAGCUUGCUGAACGAUGGUGAUUGACAUGUAUUAUCAGUUUCCUGUACUUUUUGAGUUUGGCUUGUUCUUCUUCUCUUCCUAUGUUUUGCAACGAGGUAGUUAUUUCAGUGACAUUGACUUGACAUAAUUUUUGUUCUUUCCCUGCU